rnacentral:snRNA from 1 species
GGGGUGGCCCAUAUACUAAUACUGGAAAGAAAAAGAGAGGAUCAUUAUGCCUUUGGGCAUGUAUGACCUGCACGUGAGUGAAGUGUUCCAAAUUUUA